rnacentral:rRNA from 1 species
UAUGAACGCUGGCGGCGUGCCAAAUACAUGCAAGUCGAGCGAACAGAUGAGGAGCUUGCUCCUCUGACGUUAGCGGCGGACGGGUGAGUAACACGUGGAUAACCUACCUAUAAGACUGGGAUAACUUCGGGAAACCGGAGCUAAUACCGGAUAAUAUAUUGAACCGCAUGGUUCAAUAGUGAAAGACGGUUUUGCUGUCACUUAUAGAUGGAUCCGCGCCGCAUUAGCUAGUUGGUAAGGUAACGGCUUACCAAGGCAACGAUGCGUAGCCGACCUGAGAGGGUGAUCGGCCACACUGGAACUGAGACACGGUCCAGACUCCUACGGGAGGCAGCAGUAGGGAAUCUUCCGCAAUGGGCGAAAGCCUGACGGAGCAACGCCGCGUGAGUGAUGAAGGUCUUCGGAUCGUAAAACUCUGUUAUUAGGGAAGAACAAAUGUGUAAGUAACUAUGCACGUCUUGACGGUACCUAAUCAGAAAGCCACGGCUAACUACGUG